GAACCCAAUAAAGUUUUCUCUCCUCGCACAAGUCACGACGGCGAGGUUUCGACUGCUGUGGCUCGUGGAGAGGCCGUAUUCGGAAACCCUAAAACUCCUUUUUCUAUCUGUACUGUUCUUCAGCUUUUGGUGGCCGCCGCUUUUGUUUUGAUCUCAUUCUGAAUGAUGGCUGACUCUCAUCGCAAAAGGUACUCUCGAUCUCCUUCCCCCUGGAGAGCUCCUUCAAGGUCAAGAUCUAGAUCUAGAUCACGAUCUCGGCCCAGGUCCAGGUCGAGAUCAUGGUCAAGGCCAAGAUCCCCAAGUCGUGGAAGAUCAAGGUCCAGAAGUCGUGGGAGGGACCAU
rnacentral:misc_RNA from 1 species